AUUGAACGCUGGCGGCAGGCCUAACACAUGCAAGUCGAGCGGCAGCGGGAAAGUAGCUUGCUACUUUUGCCGGCGAGCGGCGGACGGGUGAGUAAUGCCUGGGAAAUUGCCCAGUCGAGGGGGAUAACAGUUGGAAACGACUGCUAAUACCGCAUACGCCCUACGGGGGAAAGCAGGGGACCUUCGGGCCUUGCGCGAUUGGAUAUGCCCAGGUGGGAUUAGCUAGUUGGUGAGGUAAUGGCUCACCAAGGCGACGAUCCCUAGCUGGUCUGAGAGGAUGAUCAGCAACACUGGAACUGAGACACGGUCCAGACUCCUACGGGAGGAAGCAGUGGGGAAUAUUGCACAAUGGGGGAAACCCUGAUGCAGCCAUGCCGCGUGUGUGAAGAAGGCCUUCGGGUUGUAAAGCACUUUCAGCGAGGAGGAAAGGUCAGUAGCUAAUAUCUGCUGGCUGUGACGUUACUCGCAGAAGAAGCACCGGCUAACUCCGUGCCAGCCGCCGCAGUAACAC
rnacentral:rRNA from 1 species